AGCAGUAGCCGCGGGAAUACAGAGGGUGCGAGCGUUAAUCGGAUUUACUGGGCGUAAAGCGUGCGUAGGCGGCUUCUUAAGUCGGAUGUGAAAUCCCUGAGCUUAACUUAGGAAUUGCAUUCGAUACUGGGAAGCUAGAGUAUGGGAGAGGAUGGUAGAAUUCCAGGUGUAGCGGUGAAAUGCGUAGAGAUCUGGAGGAAUACCGAUGGCGAAGGCAGCCAUCUGGCCUAAUACUGACGCUGAGGUACGAAAGCAUGGGGAGCAAACAGGAUUAGAGACCCCUGUAGUCCCUGUCUCUUAUAC
rnacentral:rRNA from 1 species